rnacentral:rRNA from 1 species
UACGUUCCCGGGCCUUGUACACACCGCCCGUCACACCAUGGGAGUCAAUUGCUCCAGAAGUCCCCUCACCAAGAGAGGCCCAAGGAGUGGUUGGUAACUGGGGUG